UUCGGGGUGCAGCAGGCGCGAAAACUUUACAAUGCGAGAAAUCGUGAUAAGGGAACCCCGAGUGCCCGUAAAUUCGGGCUGUUAAUCUGUGUAAAAAGCAGGUGGAGAAAGGGCCGGGCAAGACCGGUGCCAGCCGCCGCGGUAAUACCGGCGGCUCGAGUGGUGGCCACUAUUACUGGGCUUAAAGCGUCCGUAGCUGGAUUGUUAAGUCUCUUGGGAAAUCUACCGGCUUAACCGAUAGGCGUUCAAGGGAUACUGGCAAUCUAGGGACCGGAAGAGGUGAGAGGUACUCCAGGGGUAGGAGUGAAAUCCUGUAAUCCUUGGGGGACCACCUGUGGCGAAGGCGUCUCACCAGAACGGCUCCGACAGUGAGGGACGAAAGCUGGGGGAGCAAACCGGAUUAGAUACCCGGGUAGUCCCAGCUGUAAACGAUGUGCGUUAGGUGUAUCGGUGACCACGAGUCACCGAGGUGCCGAAGAGAAAUCGUGAAACGUACCGCCUGGGAAGUACGGUCACAAGGCUGAAACUUAAAGGAAUUGGCGGGGGAGCAC
rnacentral:rRNA from 1 species